rnacentral:rRNA from 1 species
CAGAGGUGGCAAGCGUUGUUCGGAAUUACUGGGCGUAAAGGGCGCGUAGGCGGCCUUCUAAGUCAGACGUGAAAUCCCCAGGCUUAACUUGGGAACUGCGUCUGAUACUGGAGGGCUCGAGUGCGGGAGAGGGAUGUGGAAUUCCAGGUGUAGCGGUGAAAUGCGUAGAUAUCUGGAGGAACACCGGUGGCGAAGGCGGCAUCCUGGACCGACACUGACGCUGAGGCGCGAAAGCUAGGGAGCAAACGGGAUUAGAUACCCCGGUAGUCCUAGCCCUAAACGAUGAGUGCUUGGUGUGGCGGGUAUCGAUCCCUGCCGUGCCGAAGCUAACGCAUUAAGCACUCCGCCUGGGGAGUACGGUCGCAAGGCUG